GUAAGGUGAUAUGAACCGUUAUAACCGGCGAUUUCCGAAUGGGGAAACCCAGUGUGUUUCGACACACUAUCAUUAACUGAAUCCAUAGGUUAAUGAGGCGAACCGGGGGAACUGAAACAUCUAAGUACCCCGAGGAAAAGAAAUCAACCGAGAUUCCCCCAGUAGCGGCGAGCGAACGGGGAGCAGCCCAGAGCCUGAAUCAGUAUGUGUGUUAGUGGAAGCGUCUGGAAAGGCGCGCGAUACAGGGUGACAGCCCCGUACACAAAAAUGCACAUGCUGUGAGCUCGAUGAGUAGGGCGGGACACGUGGUAUCCUGUCUGAAUAUGGGGGGACCAUCCUCCAAGGCUAAAUACUCCUGACUGACCGAUAGUGAACCAGUACCGUGAGGGAAAGGCGAAAAGAACCCCGGCGAGGGGAGUGAAAAAGAACCUGAAACCGUGUACGUACAAGCAGUGGGAGCACGCUUAGGCGUGUGACUGCGUACCUUUUGUAUAAUGGGUCAGCGACUUAUAUUCUGUAGCAAGGUUAACCGAAUAGGGGAGCCGAAGGGAAACCGAGUCUUAACUGGGCGUUAAGUUGCAGGGUAUAGACCCGAAACCCGGUGAUCUAGCCAUGGGCAGGUUGAAGGUUGGGUAACACUAACUGGAGGACCGAACCGACUAAUGUUGAAAAAUUAGCGGAUGACUUGUGGCUGGGGGUGAAAGGCCAAUCAAACCGGGAGAUAGCUGGUUCUCCCCGAAAGCUAUUUAGGUAGCGCCUCGUGAAUUCAUCUCCGGGGGUAGAGCACUGUUUCGGCAAGGGGGUCAUCCCGACUUACCAACCCGAUGCAAACUGCGAAUACCGGAGAAUGUUAUCACGGGAGACACACGGCGGGUGCUAACGUCCGUCGUGAAGAGGGAAACAACCCAGACCGCCAGCUAAGGUCCCAAAGUCAUGGUUAAGUGGGAAACGAUGUGGGAAGGCCCAGACAGCCAGGAUGUUGGCUUAGAAGCAGCCAUCAUUUAAAGAAAGCGUAAUAGCUCACUGGUCGAGUCGGCCUGCGCGGAAGAUGUAACGGGGCUAAACCAUGCAC
rnacentral:rRNA from 1 species